UAAUCAGAGAGAAAACUGGAGCAGACUAAGGCCAGCCUCCCAGACAGGAGCCCAGAGGCCCCUCCUCCUUCCCCAGGGCCUGUUCAGUUCCAGGCCACCACACACUCCUCCCAGUACGAAAGGAGGUUGGCCAGGGAUGAGGCAAAGGAGGGGUGAAUGCCUGCCCUUGCUUCCUGCAGACGCCCCUGUCCCCUGCCCUCCAUCCACUCCCAGGGCCCAUCUGCCAGUGGACUGCCCUGCCAAGGGUGGGCUGGGUGCAUGCUGGGGGCUCUCCCCAGCUGAGGGCUUAGCUCUCCCAUUGGGAGGGGACCACUGGGAUUCUGGCCAUCCAUCCUUGGGGGCUGGUAGCAGAUGGCUCCGUGUGCAGGUGCUCAGGACACAGUGGGCAUACAGUGGGUGCCAGGAGCAGCAUACUGGUGCUUCUACUGUCACCGUUUCUUAAACUUCUCCAGCUGGACAGAACCCUUGAAGCCGGCCACACCCUCCAGUGAGAUGUGAAGACUCUAUGACCACUGACUUGGUGGGUCCAAGGGAGGCCCUGGAUUUGAACCCAAGCCCCCAUCCAAAGCAGCUGCUCUCUGUGGUCUCCAUCAGAGGGAACCAGGGCUGGCUCUGUCCUCCUGCCAGGAGGGAGGCAUGCUGCUGCUGUCACAUUGGGGACACUGGCCCAGGGCAGUGGCCAACGCCAGCCUUCCCGCCAUCUCCUGCACACCUGGCCUCUCUCUGCCCGAUGAGCCGGGAGGAGGUCCCUCAGGACAGGAGCCGGAGCCAGGAGGAAGCCUCCUGCACAGCCUGAGAAGGAUACAGCAGGAAUGGGGACAGGAAAGACGCCAGCCCUGUGGCCUGAUGGCACUGCACAGGGGACACUGAGUCAGCAUUCACUAACGUCGUCCUCCAGAGCCCCAGACACACGCACAGCCUCGCACAGUAGAAAGGGGGCCUUUUGGCUGUGAGACACGGCAGAUGUCCAAGUCAGAAGUGUGCCCACAGGCUCCAGCAGCUGCUGCUGAGGGUGGAAGGCCAGAACUCGGAGCCGGGGCUGAUCGAUAGGAACAAGAGAUUCUUCCCUGUGGCUGACGGCUGUCCACAGAGAUGUCACCUAACUUCUAAAUAAAGACCCAAG